rnacentral:rRNA from 1 species
UGCCAGACUCCUACGGGAGGCAGCAGUGGGGAAUAUUGGGCAAUGGGCGCAAGCCUGACCCAGCAACGCCGCGUGAAGGAAGAAGGCUUUCGGGUUGUAAACUUCUUUUAAGAGGGAAGAGAAGAAGACGGUACCUCUUGAAUAAGCCACGGCUAACUACGUGCCAGCAGCCGCGGUAAUACGUAGGGGGCGAGCGUUAUCCGGAUUCACUGGGUGUAAAGGGAGCGUAGACGGCCAUGCAAGCCAGGGGUGAAAGCCCGGGGCCCAACCCCGGGACUGCCCUUGGAACUGCAUGGCUGGAGUGCGGGAGGGGCAGGCGGAAUUCCUGGUGUAGCGGUGAAAUGCGUAGAUAUCAGGAGGAACACCGGCGGCGAAGGCGGCCUGCUGGACCGCGACUGACGUUGAGGCUCGAGAGCGUGGGGAGCAAACAGGAUUAGAUACCCGCGUACC